UUCACCUUAUUCUCCUCCAUGUUCUUACGAUACACAUCCCUCUACUCCAAAUGCAAUAUUGUGCUGUAACCUGUGCAUAGGGCUAAAUAUCCUGGUUGUCCAAAACAAAAGAUCUGCAUCAACAGCUUUCCACACCACACUUGCAGAGCUGCUGCAGGGUUAUCUGUGUGGGGUCAGAUAGAGCUGUUCAGGGAAUUCAUUUUAUGAAAAAGCAUAUGAUGCAGGGUACAUUGACAGCAUCCCUUAUAUAGAUGGAAGAUAGACUGCUGCUUGCAUAAAUAACUAGGUGCUAUCUCAGUAGCUUCCACAGAAGACUGGAAGCUCUGUUUUGUCUGUUUUGCUUUUUUUUUUUUUUUUUUUUUUUUCCCCUCUCUCCUUGAAAGGAAAAAGAACCUACAAAUUACAUCAAAGAAUUUCGGGAUUAAUUUAUCAGAAAUGUAGUGGGAGGGACCUUCCAAGGAAAGCAAGACUGGACAGACCUCUGCCUAAUUGAAAAAUAUGUGGCACCAAAAUGAGGAACAGAUUACUGAACAGAGAGCUUGAUAAGCAUCAUUUUUGCAGAAACCGUAUCAAGAGGCGUUACAUGGGAGACAAAGUACUUUCAAAUCUACAAACUUAGAAGAUCCUUUGUGAACUUGGGAAAAAUUGAGCAGGCUUGAUGAACUGUUCACAACUAAAAGCCAGUUAUAAUAUUGAAUAGGUACCAUGUUAGGGACAGUUCAUGACAGAUUCCAAGAAAUCUCUAGGAAAAAUAAAAUAAAAAUGAGGGGGUAAUGUAAUUGAGGAGAUGAAAAAAUCCUUAAUCAUUAUUGCAGUGCUAACCUGAGACAGCCACCCUUUGAACCAGUGAACUGAAGGUUGCAAUGCAGCUCUCAAAUUUGUAAAGGGGUGGGGGAACACUAGAGGCUUGGCUGAAAAAAAAUGCCUUAAAAGGUUAGUUGAAGUAGUGCAUCACAAAUGCUUAAAAGCAGUAAAGAAUGUAAACUCUCCAGAGCACAUUGCCCUCAGGGACAAAUGGGAGAGAUUAGCCUGCAUUGUUCUUUCUUGAGUAACCAUCUUAAUUCCAUCAUUAAUUAAAGUGACUGAGUUGGAGAAAGCUUUUGCAAGCCUGGGUCUUCAGCCCAUACCACAAGAAGGAGACAUGAACAGAAGAGUAAAUAUUUUCCAGAACUCCUGAGUCCAUAACUGUUCUCACACUCUGCUCUCCUCCUCUCCCACUUUGUUUUUCCUUGUUGUUCUUUAACUGACGAUUAAUAUGUUCUUGUUGGCAAGUGACAAAAAGUUCUCCUAAGCCUGAAUUUGAAACUGAGCUUGCAAAA